rnacentral:rRNA from 1 species
CCUACGGGGUGCAGCAGCAAGGAAUUUUGCGCAAUGGGCGAAAGCCUGACGCAGCCACGCCGCGUGGGGGAAGAAGGCCUUCGGGUUGUAAACCCCUUUUGUUGGGGAAGAGAGAGGACGGUACCCAACGAAUAAGCCUCGGCUAACUACGUGCCAGCAGCCGCGGUAAGACGUAGGAGGCGAGCGUUAUCCGGAUUUAUUGGGCGUAAAGGGCACGCAGGCGGUUCCUUAAGUCCAGAGUGAAAUCUUCCCGCUUAACGGGGAGGGGUCUUUGGAUACUGGGGAGCAAGAGGAAGGCAGAGGGAGGCGGAAUUCCCGGUGUAGGGGUGAAAUCCGUAGAUAUCGGGAGGAACACCAGUGGCGAAGGCGGCCUCCUGGGCCUUUCCUGACGCUGAGGUGCGAAAGCGUGGGGAGCAAACCGGAUUAGAUCCCCGGGUAGU